UACAGAGGUCUCAAGCGUUGUUCGGAUUCAUUGGGCGUAAAGAGCGUGUAGGCGGUUAGGUAGGUCAGUUGUGAAAACUGGAGGCUCAACCUUCAGACGUCGACUGAAGCCCCCCUGGCUAGAGUCCGGGAGAGGAGAGUGGAAUUCCUGGUGUAGCGGUGGAAUGCGCAGAUAUCAGGAAGAACACCCGUGGCGAAAGCGGCUCUCUGGAACGGUACUGACGCUGAGACGCGAAAGCGUGGGGAGCGAACAGG
rnacentral:rRNA from 1 species